GGGUUGUGAGGUUAAGCGACUAAGCGUACACGGUGGAUGCCCUGGCAGUCAGAGGCGAUGAAGGACGUGCUAAUCUGCGAUAAGCGUCGGUAAGGUGAUAUGAACCGUUAUAACCGGCGAUUUCCGAAUGGGGAAACCCAGUGUGAUUCGUCACACUAUCGUUAACUGAAUACAUAGGUUAACGAAGCGAACCGGGGGAACUGAAACAUCUAAGUACCCCGAGGAAAAGAAAUCAACCGAGAUUCCCCCAGUAGCGGCGAGCGAACGGGGAGGAGCCCAGAGCCUGAAUCAGCAUGUGUGUUAGUGGAAGCGUCUGGAAAGGCGCGCGAUACAGGGUGACAGCCCCGUACACAAAAGCGCAUGUGCUGUGAGCUCGAUGAGUAGGGCGGGACACGUGGUAUCCUGUCUGAAUAUGGGGGGACCAUCCUCCAAGGCUAAAUACUCCUGACUGACCGAUAGUGAACCAGUACCGUGAGGGAAAGGCGAAAAGAACCCCGGCGAGGGGAGUGAAAAAGAACCUGAAACCGUGUACGUACAAGCAGUGGGAGCCCCACCACCAAAGCAUUCUCUGGUGUUGAAGGCCCUGCAAAGCAGCAUCGCGGUGGCGGAGCGUCGUUUGCGACGCCCAACACACAAAACAAGCGGUGAGUGCUUUGGGGUGGGGUGACUGCGUACCUUUUGUAUAAUGGGUCAGCGACUUAUAUUCUGUAGCAAGGUUAACCGUAUAGGGGAGCCGAAGGGAAACCGAGUCUUAACUGGGCGUUAAGUUGCAGGGUAUAGACCCGAAACCCGGUGAUCUAGCCAUGGGCAGGUUGAAGGUUGGGUAACACUAACUGGAGGACCGAACCGACUAAUGUUGAAAAAUUAGCGGAUGACUUGUGGCUGGGGGUGAAAGGCCAAUCAAACCGGGAGAUAGCUGGUUCUCCCCGAAAGCUAUUUAGGUAGCGCCUCGUGAACUCAUCUUCGGGGGUAGAGCACUGUUUCGGCUAGGGGGUCAUCCCGACUUACCAACCCGAUGCAAACUGCGAAUACCGAAGAAUGUUAUCACGGGAGACACACGGCGGGUGCUAACGUCCGUCGUGAAGAGGGAAACAACCCAGACCGCCAGCUAAGGUCCCAAAGUCACAGUUAAGUGGGAAACGAUGUGGGAAGGCUCAGACAGCCAGGAUGUUGGCUUAGAAGCAGCCAUCAUUUAAAGAAAGCGUAAUAGCUCACUGGUCGAGUCGGCCUGCGCGGAAGAUGUAACGGGGCUAAACUGUGCACCGAAGCUGCGGCAGCGACGCUUAUGCGUUGUUGGGUAGGGGAGCGUUCUGUAAGCCUGCGAAGGUGUCCUGUGAGGGAUGCUGGAGGUAUCAGAAGUGCGAAUGCUGACAUAAGUAACGAUAAUGCGGGUGAAAAGCCCGCUCGCCGGAAGACCAAGGGUUCCUGUCCAACGUUAAUCGGGGCAGGGUGAGUCGACCCCUAAGGCGAGGCCGAAAGGCGUAGUCGAUGGGAAACGGGUUAAUAUUCCCGUACUUGGUGUUACUGCGAAGGGGGGACGGAGAAGGCUAUGUUGGCCGGGCGACGGUUGUCCCGGUUUAAGCGUGUAGGCUGGUUUUCCAGGCAAAUCCGGAAAAUCA
rnacentral:rRNA from 1 species